AGAGUUUGAUUAUGGCUCAGGAUGAACGCUAGCUACAGGCUUAACACAUGCAAGUCGAGGGGCAGCAUGUUGGUUGCUUGCAACCGAUGAUGGCGACCGGCGCACGGGUGAGUAACGCGUAUCCAACCUACCCUUGUCCAUCGGAUAACCCGUCGAAAGGCGGCCUAACACGAUAUGCGGUUCACAGCAGGCAUCUAACGUGAACGAAAUGUGAAGGAGAAGGAUGGGGAUGCGUCUGAUUAGCUUGUUGGCGGGGUAACGGCCCACCAAGGCAACGAUCAGUAGGGGUUCUGAGAGGAAGGUCCCCCACAUUGGAACUGAGACACGGUCCAA
rnacentral:rRNA from 1 species